rnacentral:rRNA from 1 species
UACAGAGGUCCCGAGCGUUGUUCGGAUUCAUUGGGCGUAAAGGGUGCGUAGGCGGUCUUCUAAGUUUGAUGUGAAAUCCCGGGGCUCAACCCUGGAAUUGCAUUGAAUACUGGAGGACUAGAGUACCGGAGAGGAAACUGGAAUUUACGGUGUAGCAGUGAAAUGCGUAGAGAUCGUAAGGAAGACCAGUGGCGAAGGCAGCCUCCUGGGCCAGUACUGACGCUCAUGCACGAAAGCGUGGGGAGCAAACAGG